GACGAACGCUGGCGGCGUGCCUAAUACAUGCAAGUAGAACGCUGAAGAGAGGAGCUUACUCUUCUUGGAUGAGUUGCGAACGGGUGAGUAACGCGUAGGUAACCUGCCUUGUAGCGGGGGAUAACUAUUGGAAACGAUAGCUAAUACCGCAUAACAAUGGAUGACACAUGUCAUUUAUUUGAAAGGGGCAAUUGCUCCACUACAAGAUGGACCUGCGUUGUAUUAGCUAGUAGGUGAGGUAAUGGCUCACCUAGGCGACGAUACAUAGCCGACCUGAGAGGGUGAUCGGCCACACUGGGACUGAGACACGGCCCAGACUCCUACGGGAGGCAGCAGGAGGGAAUCUUCGGCAAUGGGGGCAACCCUGACCGAGCAACGCCGCGUGAGUGAAGAAGGGUGUCGGAUCGUAAAGCUCUGUUGUAAGUCAAGAACGGGUGUGAGAGUGGAAAGUUCACACUGUGACGGUAGCUUACCAGAAAGGGACGGCUAACUACGUG
rnacentral:rRNA from 1 species